GUGUCAGCUGUUUAUAUUUUUCCUCUCUCUCUCUUUUUUUCUCUCUCUCUUUCUCUCGCGAUUGAAUCCCCUAAACGAGAAAACAAUUUGGAAUCAGAAGCUUCAAGGUUUGGAAUCGCAGGACCUGGAAUCAGAGGAAGGGUCUCUCCUUCAAACGAUCCCUUACUCUGACCACAACAGGUGGUGGUCUUGUGAAAAUGUAGCAGUGGUGACCGGUUGGAAUUGUACUUGAGAUUGCAAGGCAGCUUGCAGGUCAUGGAUUGACUGUUGUUCUUACAGCCAGAAACGUGGAUUUGAUCAAUCCCUAAGUUUGAUUUAUCUCUCUCUUUCGAUUGUCCUUUUGAAAAUGUUUUGACUUUAGUACUCUCUGUUCCAUUUAAAUGUUGCCAUUGCUUUGGUGAUAUGCUGGCUUGUAGUUGUUCUCUGAUCACAUUUGCUUUGAUCAGAGCUUUUCCUCUGUUUGCAUUUUCUAGAGUUGUUUUGGUAUUGAUUUAAAACUUUGCUUAAUUUUUUAAGUUGGGAACGUAUAUAUGAUUGUUGUUGAUGUAAUGGUGGUUUUUGGGUUUUAGGUAGAGAAGAAGUUUGAUUCAAAGAAGAGUGCAAGGCCGGUUUAUCCAUUUGCAGCUAUAGUAGGGCAAGAUGAGAUGAAGUUAUGUCUUCUGUUGAAUGUGAUUGAUCCAAAGAUUGGUGGUGUGAUGAUUAUGGGAGAUAGAGGAACUGGCAUAUCUACAGCUGUUAGAUCAUUAGUUGAUCUGUUGCCUGAGAUCAUACAACCGUAUUUGUAGUUUUGACUGUGACCAAAGCUGUGGUCUUGGAAUUAUGAUUCAGGUUUCAGGAGAGAAUGGUGGAUCCAAAGCUGGGAAGAGAAGCAAGCAGGAUGAAGCUGGGAGUAGUAAAAACGGAAUAGAGAAGUGUGAUAGUAAACUGGUGAAGCUGAUGAAUGGAGAUGUUCAGUACUUGAGACAAGCUGGAAAAUCAAGUUUCAUUAUCACUGCAGAACUCGCUGCAGCAAACAAGUAGUCCCCAAAACAUUGUUGAAGUGAACCCGCUACAUAUCUCUGUUUCUUUGAUGCAGACCAUCGAGAUUAAUGUGUGUGAGGGUUGGAAGAGAAGAAAGAAACAUUGUGAAAGUGAAUGGUUUGCGUAUGAAGCUAGAACCAUACAAGGAGAUUGUGUCUGCUGCUUUGUUUGACAUUAUAGCUCAGGUUACAGUUUCAAACACUUUUCUUACCAGUUUAGUUCUGUAAUUGUAGAUUUACUCAGAUUUUUGUGUCUUUUUUCUUCAGGAUGCAAGCUUUUUGUAAUUACAGUUUAAUCAUUUAUACUACUUCUAAUCUAUUUAAACU